AUGACUGAACUAAAAAUACAGAGGUAUGAUGGAACAAAGAAGACUGUUCUCCAGGUUUCAGAGUUUGUUAGAUCCAUGUUAGAGGCCUUUGCAGCCUCCAGAAUAUUUCCUGUGAGGCCAACGCCAACUAUCCCAGCCAAGGUCCCAGCUGUAUUUGAAACCCCCAUCACUAUGCCGGCGAACUUUGGAGCAACAUCCAUGUGAUUCACCGCAAACCCUGCUCUUCCUAGAGCCAGAAAACCAAGGGAUACAGAUGAACAGAUCACAGUCCCUGAGGGCGUACCGAAGGAAGGAAGAGCCAUAAGUGCAACAGCCGAGACAACAAACCCAAUGGUGUUAAGGAGUUUCCUUGUCUUGGUAACUGAUAAGAUCUUUUUUGUAAUCAAGUGA
rnacentral:rRNA from 1 species